CAGUGAGUUCGCUACGGAAGGAGGAAGGUUGAUCAUCAAAGUCUCAAGAACCAAGGCUGCAAAUGGGUACUAUUGCUACGGAAUUUGCGAUUCAGGGAUUCAAUGAUUCAGGGUGUAUAAGAUAUCUGAGAAGUUUGUAAUUUAUUUAUUUGCAAGGAAGAAAUAAAAAUGGGUCAUGCUGAGCAGGGAAAACUGAACUAGCCAUACAUAUUAAAUGUUCAACUUUUCUUGUAUUCAUUUCUGUCCGUUAACACUUCCAUUCUUCGUCACACUUGCUUUUUCUUCAUAAUCCGCAGGACGUCUGGAGAAUUGCUGCAAGAAUAUAAGGAUCAUACAUGCAAGGAACUGCAAAAGAUACUAUGCCAGGAUAUCAUUGUGUUGAGUGUCAAUUGUUUGGUGGUGCAAUUUCCACUUGUUUCCUUUCCAGGAUGUUAGUGAUGUCCGCCAAGUUCCUGAUCACCCAGAAGCCUAUGUGGAUUCUGCAAGAGAUGAAAGCGUUAUAAUUGAGUUAUUAGAUCUGAAACAUGAUGUAGGAGAUAAUGGAAGUGAUGUUUGGUUUCUUCAAGACCUUGCUACUGAACAAAACGCUGAAGGAACUACAGUCAUUGAGCAAUCAGGAGUUUUCACGGCAAAUGGAAUCCGAUACCGUAUAUAUUGUGAGACAUUGUUUAUUUUUAAAGUACUUUUUCUUUCAUCAUCCUAUACGUGAAAACCCAAAGUCAACCUAAUGUGUAUUUUCUCCAAGGAAAAACGGAACCAGGCGUACAAAUUAUAUGGUCAACUUAAGAGGUAACGGGUAUAUAGGUUGAUAAACUACGAAGGUGCUCUACCAAUAUAUGCUUGUCAAAUCUUAUAUAUCAUGACGGAAUGAGUACUUUAAUUCGACAUUUGCUGAUUCCCAGGACCUUUUAGCAUCGUUAGUUUCCAAAAGCAUAUACGUGCAGGAUAGAGUAUAAGAAAUCUUCAAAUACUUUCUGAUUGGAUGUUAUGCCUCAUCAGUUGUAUCAACUGAAGGAAAGUUUGUUAGAUCAAUAUUUUGAUUCUAUAAUUCCGAAUUCUUAUAUUAUUUUGUGACGGUUCGCUUUUUGAAUACUGUUGUCUGUAUGCAGUCAAACUUGGCAACAUUAGAUGAGAAAUCUGUGGUUGUUACCAGUAGUAGAGCUGACAAGCAUUUUGAGGAAGACAUUCCUAUCCUCUGUGCUGCAUUGGAUAAACUGAAGCUAUCAACUUUCCCCGAAUUUGAAGUUAGAGUCAGGUUGAUCCAGCUGUUAAAGAGGCAUUCUUUCUAGUCCAUGUUUUUCAGUAUGGUUGACAAUCGAAUAAUUGUGUUCAACUAAACAAGGGCUCUGAAUUGAAAGAAUUCCAGGCCCUCGUCCCUUUUAUAUCCUUCUACCCUUCUCUAUUUAGCAAAAAUAAUCCCAGUCCCAUCAUGAAUUAGUAGAAAAAUCAAUAGUGAAAUGGAUGUCUCUUUAUGUUUCUGGGGAACUGCAGUUUUACCUUCAACGACUUUUAUGCUUGCAGUUUAUGCUUACUUCUAUUUAAGCACUAAGUAUUUGCUUCAGUCAUAGUGCUUGUUAGUACCGAUUUUUCUGUUCACAUUUUGAAUGGUCUAUAUCUACGUCAAGGUCUUAUUACAAUUGCUUGAAGCUUUGAUGUACCUGUCCAUUCUUAUUCUUUUCCGAUCCAUAACAGUGAAGCUGGUUUCAGCGGACAUGCCUGCUGGCCCAUCUGAAGUUCUGGUUAUUGAUGAUAAACAUGCCAGGCAGGCUCAUAUAGCAGCUGAUUUACUUUGAGGCAGAGCAUGGUCCUGACAAUUAGGUUGUGCUUGUAAUUGCUGAAGAUGGUGUAGAUGUGGGGCCAUCGAGAAGGAGAUCGGCUUGCAGAGUCAGAGUCUUCCUAGAGGAGAUUUUGCUUAGAAAGCACUUGGCCAUAGUCUCACUGUGUUCGCUCGUGAAAUGGUUAAGACUGUGGAGCUAUGAACUAGUUGUUACAAAAUGCAGGGGUUUCUGACGUCGAUCUUCUUAUAAUGGCUGACGCAGAUGAGAUUCCAAGUGGUGAGAUGGAAUUCCCUGUUGCUGAAACAAUGGCUGCCCAUGAUCGAACUGGGGACUUCAGCGGCGGCACGAGAUUCAAACUAAGUUAACUAACUGCAUUCAGCUACCUAUUAACUGAUGUAAAGACAAUGGUUUCUUAGUUAUCACUUGAUUUGUAGAGAUGUAAUUGAACAGCUGAUCUUUGCAAAAACCAAAUACUGUCUACAAAUCAACCAGCUCGAUUUUAAUUGGCAUUUUUUGAUGGGCAUAAUUGUCCUGCAAAUUUUCGGAUUGUAUGAUUUGCAACGGGAAUAAUAGCUU